CAUCACUAUGGACCAGACAGGUGGACUUCCAGGCCAACAGCAUGGCAAGGAGCUUCCUGGAAUGCCAUGAAAUCCAAAAGUCAGAAUAAGAUUAUUUGCCUCAUGGAGGACUUGCCUAAUUACCAGAAUAAGGUUGGCAGUUUGUGAUAUCUUCUGGUUAAGUUUUCAACUUUAGUUAUGAAGUUACCAUGAGAAGCAGGAGUUAUGAAUACAAAGCAUUCAGAAAAUUUGCCAGCGUGGACUUAUAUCUCUAAAAUAGGAUUGGCUCAAGUGCUAUCAAGGCACCAUACCAGGACCUGUGUUAUGUCGGAGAAAACAAAAGACAACAGAUAUUCCUUGUGUAUGUUGGUGAAAUACUACUAUUAAAAAGUUUGAAGCUUUUCCACAGAUGAAGGCAGCAUCUGGUCAGUGCCACAUCACUGGGCUUCAGGAGAAUCGGGUAAAGUAAAACAGGGUCUUAUCUUCCUCUGUGUUGUUAGAACCGAGUGGCUGCUGCCCAUGGGGUACUGGCCUCAUGUGCCACCUGCUCAGAGCACAUCCUGAGGACACCAGCUUUCCCCAGGGUGUCUCCUCCACACGCCACCAGGGUGAGGGGCAGUGUCACUAAUACCUUUCCCUGACCUGUCAACCCUGCACCCAGUGGGACAAUUGGAGGUAUGUGCUGAGCAUCACUGUGUUGCUGGCAAGUCUACCUGGCUGCAGAGCAAGGCCUUUCAGGCUCUGGAGAUAAUGAGAAGAGCCUGGGUGCAUCUUAACCACCCCAGCCUCCUCCCCAGGGAUUUUCUGAGUUACCUUCCCUGUGCUCAUGAUCCUCACUACCUGGAAGGGACUCCACCCUGCCAAUGCUGACCCACGGGGCUCUAACACUUGGUGUCAAAGGGGGAGGGACACUGUUCAGUGAGUGCCCACCUGGCCUAGGUCUACGGGGCUCUGUUUGAGUCCUUCCUGAACCUCAUGUAACCCUCCAGUGGCUGAUAGGCCCCAGGGAAGGUAAACCUACAGUCAGGAGAUGCCAUCAAGGCCUCACCUGUGAUACAUGGCAGAGGUCGGAUAUCUCUCUUUGUCCCUAAACCCUGAACUUUUCCCUCUAAGCUGUGCUCCUUGGCUGCUCCAGACAAUGUGUUCCAGGAACCCAGGACUUUGGAGCUGGAUCUGCCCCCUUGGGUGCAUGGACACUGAGAAGAGAGGCUGCCUUCUCUCUGACUCACUGUCAGGCAAAACUCACAACACAUUCCUGACCACUGAAGUGCCAGUGGAUAAUGCAGUUCCUAGCACAGGCGCCCAGUGUACUCAGCACUAAGGGCUGGAUCAGCCUGAACGACAGCACUAGAACAUUCCACAAGCAUCACUCACUCUCUGACAACCACCUCAACUUUUCACUUCCAGCUUAGUUGGUCAAUGGUUUCAGAAUCUUUGGCCUUUCCUGACUCUGUCUUGAAGCCUCUAGGGCUGGAGAACUCACUCCCAACCUGAGACAGGCAGAUAAAGUAUCCAGGGGACAUUCCACCAGCAGCCACUGGGACUUUAACACUGAAGCUGUACUUAGAUAAGCAAGAGCUGAUUUCACACAAGUUCUUACUUCUUCUCUCUCUCUCAGAGAGCUGUUAGCACUCUCAGGGUCAAUGCCUUGUACCGAUGGAAAUACUUCCUGCUGCACUCAUAACUCAUGUUUCAUUAUAACAUAGGGAAGAUGCAUGAUUGAUAGUCUCCAUAUGCAGACACUGUGUCAUUAGUCAAAUGAAUCAUUCCAGCAGGUGCCUGGGAAAGGCUGGGGCCAGCUGACAUCUUAUGAUGAUUCCAUAGUCUUUGUGUCUCAUGCAACUAAAAAUAGCUCUCUAAGAUGAAAAAUUUGAAUUGAAGCACAUUUUUCUGCAUGGGGAAAGUUGUGCCCAUUAAAUUUCUUCUGAUUUUCUGCAUGGGGAAAGAAGUGCCCACUAAAUUGGCUCUGAAUGUGCUUACUAUAGUUCUUUCCUUUGAAUAUGAUUUUCUGCUGUUGAUUUUGAUCAGUAAAAAUGGAAUACUGACCAACAACUACUCUGUUGGUUCAAUUGGCUAAUUUCCGGUACAAAGUUUGAUUGAUUUUCAACAAAAUUAAAAAUAAAUAAAUAAAUGAA